rnacentral:rRNA from 1 species
GACGAACGCUGGCGGCGUGGAUUAGGCAUGCAAGUCGAACGGUAUCAUCCUUUCGGGGGUGAGAGAGUGGCGAACUGGUGAGUAACACGUAGGUUAUCUACCCUCAAGACGGGGACAACCCAGGGAAACUUGGGCUAAUACCGGAUGUGAGCAACUUUUAGUUGUUUGAAAGGUGGCGUAAGCUGUCGCUUGGGGAUGAGCCUGCGUCCUAUUAGUUAGUUGGUGAGGUAACGGCUUACCUAGGCAAUGAUAGGUAGGCGGCCUUAACGGGUGGUCGCCCACACUGGGAUUGAGAUACGGCCCAGACUCCUACGGGAGGCAGCAGUCGAGAAUAGUCUACAAUGGUCGGGAAACUGAUAGUGCGACGCCGCGUGAACGAUGAAUCCCUUCGGGGUGUAAAGUUCUUUUAUAUGUGAGCAGUGCUUCUUAUAUUAACAGUAUGGGGAGAGAGAUAUUAGCAUAUGAAUAAGCAACGGCUAACUACGUGCCAGCCAGCCGCGGUAAAAUCAACG